rnacentral:rRNA from 1 species
AGCUUGCUAAUAAUUCUCUAGUGGCGCACGGGUGAGUAACACGUGAGUAACCUGCCCCCAAGAGUGGGAUAGCCCCGGGAAACUGGGAUUAAUACCGCAUAAAAUCGCAAGAUUAAAGCAGCAAUGCGCUUGGGGAUGGGCUCGCGUCCUAUUAGUUAGUUGGUGAGGUAACGGCUCACCAAGGCGAUGACGGGUAGCCGGUCUGAGAGGAUGUCCGGCCACACUGGAACUGAGACACGGUCCAGACACCUACGGGUGGCAGCAGUCGAGAAUCAUUCACAAUGGGGGAAACCCUGAUGGUGCGACGCCGCGUGGGGGAAUGAAGGUCUUCGGAUUGUAAACCCCUGUCAUGUGGGAGCAAAUUAAAAAGAUAGUACCACAAGAGGAAGAGACGGCUAACUCUGUGCCAGCAGCCGCGGUAAUACAGAGGUCUCAAGCGUUGUUCGGAAUCACUGGGCGUAAAGCGUGCGUAGGCGGUUUCGUAAGUCGUGUGUGAAAGGCGGGGGCUCAACCCCCGGACUGCACAUGAUACUGCGAGACUAGAGUAAUGGAGGGGGAACCGGAAUUCUCGGUGUAGCAGUGAAAUGCGUAGAUAUCGAGAGGAACACUCGUGGCGAAGGCGGGUUCCUGGACAUUAACUGACGC